AUUGAACGCUGGCGGCAGGCCUAACACAUGCAAGUCGAACGGUAACAGGAAGAAGCUUGCUUCUUUGCUGACGAGUGGCGGACGGGUGAGUCAUGUCUGGGAAACUGCCUGAUGGAGGGGGAUAACUACUGGAAACGGUAGCUAAUACCGCAUAACGUCGCAAGACCAAAGAGGGGGACCUUCGGGCCUCUUGCCAUCGGAUGUGCCCCGAUGGGAUUAGCUAGUAGGUGGGGUAACGGCUCACCUAGGCGACGAUCCCUAGCUGGUCUGAGAGGAUGACCCGCCACACUGGAACUGAGACACGGUCCAGACUCCUACGGGAGGCAGCAGUGGGGAAUAUUGCACAAUGGGCGCAAGCCUGAUGCAGCCAUGCCGCGUGUAUGAAGAAGGCCUUCGGGUUGUAAAGUACUUUCAGCGGGGAGGAAGGGAGUAAAGUUAAUACCUUUACUCAUUGACGUUACCCGCAGAAGAAGCACCGGCUAACUCCGUG
rnacentral:rRNA from 1 species